rnacentral:rRNA from 1 species
AUGAGAAACGAGAUCACCGGCUGCUCACAGCGGCGCUACUGCUCACGGCGGGGAAGGGAGAUCGGCGGCGCAGCUCACGACGGUGGCGGCGAAGGGACAUCAGCGGCACUGCUCAUGGCGGUGGCGAUGAAGGGACAUCGGCAGCGUUGCUGCUCAAGGAGGCGGCGAAUUGAUACGGCGGCGCUGCUGCUCAUGGCGCAGGGGGGUCGCCGGCGGUGCUGUUCAUGGUGGAGGGAGAUCAUCGGCGGCCGGCGCUACUGCCUGUUCCCCGCGGUGAAGAAAACGAUUCGGAAGAGUGGUGGUAUUAUUUCAUACCGGGCUGUACCGGGUGUUUUCAGUUUAGUGAAGAAUGAUUUGCGAUUACAUGGUAUCUGA